CCUACGGGUGGCAGCAGUGAGGAAUAUUGGUCAAUGGACGAGAGUCUGAACCAGCCACGUAGCGUGAAGGAUGACUGCCCUAUGGGUUGUAAACUUCUUUUAUAUGGGAAUAAAAUGUUCCACGUGUGGGAUUUUGUAUGUACCAUAUGAAUAAGGAUCGGCUAACUCCGUGCCAGCAGCCGCGGUAAUACGGAGGAUCCGAGCGUUAUCCGGAUUUAUUGGGUUUAAAGGGAGCGUAGGUGGAUUUUUAAGUCAGUUGUGAAAGUUUGCGGCUCAACCGUAAAAUUGCAGUUGAAACUGGCAGUCUUGAGUACAGUAGAGGUGGGCGGAAUUCGUGGUGUAGCGGUGAAAUGCUUAGAUAUCACGAAGAACUCCGAUUGCGAAGGCAGUUCACUGGACUGCAACUGACACUGAGGCUCGAAAGUGUGGGUAUCAAACAGGAUUAGAUACCCUUGUAGUC
rnacentral:rRNA from 1 species